rnacentral:rRNA from 1 species
AUUGAACGCUGGCGGCAUGCCUUACACAUGCAAGUCGAACGGCAGCACGGGAGCAAUCCUGGUGGCGAGUGGCGAACGGGUGAGUAAAGUAUCGGAACGUGCCCAGUCGUGGGGGAUAACGUAGCGAAAGUUACGCUAAUACCGCAUACGAUCUAUGGAUGAAAGCGGGGGAUCGCAAGACCUCGCGCGAUUGGAGCAGCCGAUAUCAGAUUAGGUAGUUGGUGGGGUAAAGGCUCACCAAGCCGACGAUCUGUAGCUGGUCUGAGAGGACGACCAGCCACACUGGGACUGAGACACGGCCCAGACUCCUACGGGAGGCAGCAGUGGGGAAUUUUGGACAAUGGGCGAAAGCCUGAUCCAGCCAUGCCGCGUGCAGGAUGAAGGCCUUCGGGUUGUAAACUGCUUUUGUACGGAACGAAAAGGUUUGGCCUAAUAAGCUGAGCUCAUGACGGUACCGUAAGAAUGAGCACCGGCUAACUACGUGCCAGCAGCCGCAGUAA